rnacentral:piRNA from 1 species
UGGAAAUAAAAAUAAAUGAUUGGCACUU